AUGAAUGACAGCACUGGAAAUGGUGACUCCAUGGGUAAAUACAUGGUUUUAUUUUUCCUUUUCUUUUCUUUUUUUUGAGAUGGUGUCUCUCUAUGUUGCCUAGCCUGGUCUCGAACUCCUGGGCUCAAGUGAUCCUCCUGCCUCAGCCUCCCAAAGUGCUAAGAUUACUGGUGUGAGCCACCAUGCCGGUCCAGCAAUCCAUGGUUCCAUAUAGGUGGCGUCGGACCCCUGUCAGAGAGUAAAUCUCAAGUAAGGUACCUGCCAUCGGCAGAUUUGAGCUUUCUUCUUGGACACCUAAUACCCACAGUCCUCCAGGCUCCGGUAGACUGCAAAUGACCUGCUUUCUUUCUGUUCCCGGGCUGCGUUUGGACCCCUGUCGGAUAGUAAAUCCCAAGUAAGGUACCUGCCCUCGGCAGAUUUGAGCUUUCUUCUUGGACACCUAAUACCCACAGUCCCCCAGGCUCCGGUAGACUGCAAAUGACCUGCUUUCUUUCUGUUCCCGGGCUGCGUUUGGACCCCUGUCGGACAGUAAAUCCCAAGUAAGGUACCUGCCCUCGGCAGAUUUGAGCUUUCUUCUUGGACACCUAAUACCCACAGUCCUCCAGGAAUGGAACAGAUAAGAAGAUACUGAAAUUGGACGGUGCUGCCGUGCGGCUGCCGCAGGACACCUUUAAUAUCCCUGUUUCUCAGGCUGUAGAUGAAGGGGUUCAGCAUGGAGGUGAUCACCGUGUACAUCACUGAGGCCACUGCAGCCUUUCUCGGGGAAGAUGACACAUCUGAACUGAGGUACCCUCCAAAGCCUGUUCCGUAAAAUCAGCAAACAACUGACAGGAUAACUUCAGGAAGUGGGUAUUAAUUCUCACGGUAUAAGUGAAGACAUUAAGCACCAGAGUUUAAGUAGCUUGAUCCACUGAAAGAGAUUCAACUGUGUGGAACCUAUGCCGUGGAGAAUUGCUUUCUGCCAUUGUUAUCGUCCAGCAGUUGCCGAAUAGCUCUGACCUGAGCAAAGCAGUGAAACGCGGUGCUGUUGAGUGGGUUGCCACUGCACCUUUUUCAACUACUCUAGUCUUGUGGAGAAAAUACCCCUUCUAAAUUUUUUCUUCAUUGAAUACUCUCCCUCAGCUCCAGAGUACCAUAUAGAGUUUUCUUGUAUUUUAGAGUUACUGUUUUAUCAAAGUUUACCAGUCUUUUGUAUUACAUUUCUCCUGUCUAAAUCGACUGUGUGGUUUCUACUCAUUAUGGAUAUAGAUUGAUACAAACUCAAUAAAUAUUUUUGAAUGAAUAA
ensembl:lncRNA LINC01198 long intergenic non-protein coding RNA 1198